AUUGAACGCUGGCGGCAUGCUUUACACAUGCAAGUCGAACGGGGUGAGGAGCUUGCUCCUCAUCUAGUGGCGAACGGGUGAGUAAUACAUCGGAACGUACCGUGUAGUGGGGAUAACGUAGCGAAAGUUACGCUAAUACCGCAUACGAUCCACGGAUGAAAGCAGGGGACCUUCGGGCCUUGUGCUAUACGAGCGGCCGAUGUCUGAUUAGCUAGUUGGUGGGGUAAAGGCCCACCAAGGCAACGAUCAGUAGCGGGCCUGAGAGGAUGAUCCGCCACACUGGGACUGAGACACGGCCCAGACUCCUACGGGAGGCAGCAGUGGGGAAUUUUGGACAAUGGGCGCAAGCCUGAUCCAGCCAUGCCGCGUG
rnacentral:rRNA from 1 species